rnacentral:lncRNA from 1 species
CAUUGCGGAGGACACUUGACAUCUCAGGGCCUCGGGCCACCUCCUUCCUAGGCACAAAGCCCUUAGAAGAACUGAGCUCUUGGGAGCUCAUCUUCACCUCCUCUUUCUCAAGAACUCAGCCACAUUUUGGGACCCAGGUGUCUCUGCCUGCCAGCCACAAGGAGGCAGAGGAAGAUGCACAGGGAAAACCAUCUCUGGUGCUGGCUGCUUCUGCAGCUCCUGCUUCUAGAAAUGACCAGCACAGUCUCUGCCUCUUCAUCCAUCCCGACCACCACUGGGUCCAUCACAGCCUCAAACUCUUCAUCCAUCCCGACCACCACUGGGUCCAGCACAGCUCUGACUCUUCAUCACCCCUGUCUACCACUCUGACCAGCCUAGCUUCUUCCUCUCCAUCUAUACCAACCAACACUGUGACCAGCAUAGCUUCUUCCUCUAUAUCUAUGCUGACCACCCC